GCAGUCGUGGCCGAGUGGUUAAGGCGAUGGACUUGAAAUCCAUUGGGGUCUCCUGUGCAGGUUCGAAUCCUGCGGCUGCG
rnacentral:tRNA from 1 species